GGGUUGGCCAGAAAUCGUGACUGCAACUGCUUUGUGACCUCGGCAAUUAUAUUGUUGUGGUCCAAAACCCUCCUUGAUUUCAUGAUCCUAACUAUUGCUGCUUCAAUCUGAGGCUUUCUGUCCUCCUCCACUCUCUGCCGAGUCUCCUGCUUUUCAGGUUCUGAUUCCUUUUGUGCAACUACAGUUCCUAUCUUCACCUUGUAGAAUUUGCUUGUGAACUUGUCAUUGACAAAAAAUGCAUCUUCCUCACCAAUGUCUUUGCUCAUGGGCUCUUUCCGAAGUACAUUUUUCCCUUUUACACAUGCCAUGGAUUGCAGGCACCUCUUUAGGUCUGAAGCAGGAAUCUCUGUUGCCUGCUCAAUCUCCUUGUAGCUAAG
rnacentral:misc_RNA from 1 species